AAUGAACCGACUAAAAAUGAAAC
rnacentral:siRNA from 1 species